GUGGGGAAUUUUGCGCAAUGGGCGAAAGCCUGACGCAGCAACGCCGCGUGGAGGAUGAAGGUCUUUGGAUUGUAAACUCCUGUCAGCAGGGAAAAAGACUGCGGGGCUCAUACCCUCGUAGUUUGAUUGUACCUGCAGAGGAAGCCCCGGCUAACUCUGUGCCAGCAGCCGCGGUAAUACAGAGGGGGCAAGCGUUAUUCGGAAUUAUUGGGCGUAAAGGGCGCGUAGGCGGCCUGGCAAGUGGAAGGUGAAAUCCCUCGGCUUAACCGAGGAACUGCCCUCCAAACUGCUUGGCUUGAGACCGGGAGAGGUGAGUGGAAUUCCCAGUGUAGCGGUGAAAUGCGUAGAUAUUGGGAGGAACACCAGUGGCGAAGGCGGCUCACUGGACCGGUACUGACGCUGAGGCGCGAAAGCGUGGGGAGCAAACGGGAUUAGAAACCCGAGUAGUCC
rnacentral:rRNA from 1 species